CGAAGCAUCAAACAACCGCCUUACUUAUUUUUUUAUCCACAUCCAUCUUCAUCACCGCCAUUGUUUUUGUAUCAUAUUUAUUCAUCUUAUUCCUAGCUCUGUAACUUACAAAUCAUAAUUUUUACACAGCAAGCAGAUUUCUCUUUUCGGUGCGGCGCGACUAGGACGUUACUUUUAUUUGAUUUACUCAAGUUAGCAUACAAGUUGAAGUUCAAGUUAAAGUUCAAAUACAGGUUUUUAAAGGCCGGAGGCGCGUGGAAGGUCGAAUGGCGAGUCAAAUAUUUUGAAUUUAGUUUUUCUGAAAAAUGUUAUGUUUAGUAAAGUAUUUUAAAUAAAAUAUUUAUUUUGUUAUUUUUCACAUUAAAUAUUUAAUUAUAUGCAUAGUUUUUCCGCGUGCGUUUUCAUUUAAAAUUAAAAUGGAUUUGGGUGUCACACCCCCAUUUCCAACUCGCCACUUCCUCACCCGCCGGCCGCCGCCGCCUCUCCCGCCCGCCCGCCGCAUGCCGCCCUCUCCAGUUCUCCCGCACGCCCCGCCCCUCUAAAGUUCUCCCGCUCGCCGCCUGUCUCGCCUCACGCCCCGCCUGCCGCCUCACUCCCAUCUCCGACCGUCUCCCUCUCCAGAUCGCCCUUCGCCGCCGCCUCACUCACCCGACCACCCACUCCAGUUCUCGCCUCCUCCGUCAUCUCGCUGACCAGCUCGCCGCCUAACUCCACUGCCGCUGCCAUUUAGACAUGUCUACCACAUGAUAUUCUCAAUCCACAUGAUGCUCUCAAUCCAGGGUUAGAUUUUGAUUUCUGAAAUUGUGUUAGAUGUUGAUUUUGAUUUGAUUCUAAUUUAUGUAGUUGUGUUAGAUUCUGAUUUUGGAUUUUAUUUCUGAAAUUGUGAGAAAUUCUGAUUUAUGAAGUUGUGAUACAUUGAUGAUGACAAGGUUCAUGUUGUUGAAUCCAAAGCACCAAAGAAAUAUGGUGAUUACUUUAUGCGCCAAAUUGUCAAGCUUGAAGGGAUAAUGACUGAUAUCAACAGAAUAAAGCUGGAGUAAGAAUUAGAGUCUUGCUGUAUGAUUUGCCCUUUUCAUGGUUUUUGAAUGGCCCCUAAGAGGAAGAAAGAACUGGGGCAGUUUUGUGGCGUCAUUUUUAUUGCAUGAAUGUAUUUUGUGCAAUAUUUUUCAUAAUGAAAAUUAGAUGUUGAUUUUGUGAAUUA